rnacentral:rRNA from 1 species
AGUGAACGCUGGCGGCAUGCCUAAUACAUGCAAGUCGAACGGAAGCACAGUAAGCUUUCUCCUCUACCGUUGGCGGGUGACGGGUGAGUAACAAGUGGAUCGGCUACCUCUAUUUCGUGGGUGACUUCGUAAGACCGCUUCCAAUACUAGAGCAUAUAUUCAACGGCUGAGAUCAGUGGUUAUUGGCACUUUUCGUGUCUCUUUUAGCUGAUUUCGCGCCGCAUUAGCUAGUUGGUAAGGUAACGGCUUACCAAGGCAACGAUGCGUAGCCGACCUGAGAGGAUGAUCAGCCACACUGGAACUGAGACACGGUCCAGACUCCUACGGGAGGCAGCAGUGGGGAAUAUUGGGCAAUGGGCGAAAGCCUGACGGAGCAACGCCGCGUGAGUGAUGAAGGCCUUCGGAUUGUAAAGCCCUGUUAUUAGGGAAGAACAACUGUGGAAGUAACUACGCACGUCUUGACGGUACCCAAUCAGAAAGCAACGGCUAACUACGUG